GUGUUGCCUUUUGCCUUGAUAACAGUGAUCAUAAGCCAAAUAGUUGAACUUAUUUGUGGUUAAUAAAAAAAGAAAAAGAAGUUUUCCGAUAUGCCAAGUUUUCUCUCCCUAAGUCAUGGUUGAAACAUAUAUUCCUUCUUUUGUGUUUCAAAUUUUUUUCCUAACUCGUAAAAGUUGUUCGAUAGUUCAAUAUUCAUAAUAUAAGUAAGGAGGAAAAUAUACAACUCCCUCAGAUGACAUGUUUAAUCUAAUUGUACCUUGUGGUCAUUAAUUUCAACUUGUAAUCUUUGAAUUUCAAUCUACAUAGGAUAUCAUUGAAAAUAUAAUUCAAAGCUCUUACCAGCCUUAAGUACUCAUUUUUGCCCAAAAUGAAUGUCAAAAUUGGAACCAAGAUGUUGAAAUUAGUGGGUAAUUUUGCCAAGAUUAUCCGACAUGGUAGAUGUUGAUGUGGUAUUGUUAGGUGACUUGGCAUUGACAUGGCAAGAUUCUGUGCAAGCGGAUUCACAAUAACAUGUUACAUAACAGCCUGCAAACUUACUGAAACAGAGGAAUAGAGAGAGAAAAAGAGAGAAAAAAGUGAGAAAACAGAUAGAUUGGAUG
rnacentral:misc_RNA from 1 species